rnacentral:lncRNA from 1 species
UGUUGUUCAUUGUUGUCUUUUCUUUAGGUACCAUGGCUGCCACCAAUCCCGAUGCCACGUUUGACCGGAUCACCGACUAUAUUGAAGAAAUGAAAUGGCACGUGGAAAGGCUACGCCAAUUUCUACCUAAACUUAUCCCACAAAAUCCAACUUCCCUUGUCCAAACACAUUGUGAUGAGAGCUUCCCGAAGGAAGAGGUGGGCUACCCCGACCCACACCAAGGUAAAGAGGAGAUUGAAACAUCUUUGGUACGAGAUAGUGAACUUAUAGAGAGCGAAGCACUUUCUAGUUCCAAAUCUGUCCGUGAGAUAGAUCAUGCUUUAUUUAUGUUUAAUGUUCUGUUUGAAGAUGAUAUAAACACUCCUAAUGAACCUAGUGGUGAAAAUGAUGG